rfam:Stegodyphus mimosarum contig72349, whole genome shotgun sequence.
GCCUUCGUGGUGUAACGGUAGCACACUCGGCGCGUAUUCGAGAGGUCCAGGUUCGAGUCCCGGCGAGGGCA